rnacentral:rRNA from 1 species
GACGGGGGAUGCAAGCGUUAUCCGGAAUUACUGGGCGUAAAGCGUCUGUAGGUGGUGAUGCAAGUCACUGGUGCAAAACUAUGGCUCAACCGGAGGAAAGCCAGUGAAACUGCAUGACUAGAGUGUGGGAGAGGUAGAAGGAAUUCCCUGAGUAGCGGUGAAAUGCGUAGAUACAGGGAAGAACACCGGAGGCGAAAGCGUUCUACUGGCACACAACUGACACUGAGAGACGAAAGCUAGGGGAGCGAAUGGG